rnacentral:rRNA from 1 species
AUACGGAGGGUCCAAGCGUUAUCCGGAAUCAUUGGGUUUAAAGGGUUCGUAGGCGGGUCAAUAAGUCAGAGGUGAAAUCUUGCAGCUUAACUGUAAAAUUGCCUUUGAUACUGUUGACCUUGAAUUACUGUGAAGUGGUUAGAAUAUGUAGUGUAGCGGUGAAAUGCUUAGAGAUUACAUAGAAUACCGAUUGCGAAGGCAGAUAACUAACAGUAUAUUGACGCUGAUGAACGAAAGCGUGGGUAGCGAACGGGAUUAGAAACCCCAGUAGUCC